rnacentral:misc_RNA from 1 species
UUUUAUUUCUGGUCCGUUAAUUCUCAGAAACUGAACGGAAGUGAUCCUUUAUGAUGGUUGUUGAUGUUGUUGUUGUGUCCUGGUUUCCGUAAGUUUUCGAUUGUAAUUGUAUGUUGUUCGCUCUUAAUAUUGAUUAGUUACUAACGAUUAAUUUAUUGAUUAUGAGUUGUAACUAUGCAUUUCAAACUAUAAAUGUUUAUCCUCAUCAUAUUAAAAAAAGUAUUUGUGGAACCCGUGCUAAGUAUCGAGAUGGACGAAAAGAUACCGCUGUUAAAGUUUAUACUAUAAAUCAAGAAUCAGUUUAUUUAAUCAUAAGUAAUGUGCCAACAGUUGGUGCAUCAGAACAAUUGCAAGCAAUCUGUGAUCAAUAUGGAAAUGUAGUAGAUUUUCGACCAUUAGAUGAAUAUCCAUCUGAAGAAUUUACCGAAGUUUAUUUAGUCAAAUAUGAUGCCCUUUCUCCUGCUAGGAUUGCAAAAAAGCAACUGGAUGAUAAAUCUUUCUUUGGAGGUAUUCUUCAUUGUUGUUAUGCUCCAGAAUUUGAAACAGUUACAGAAACUCGGUCAAAGCUUCAGGAGAGACGGAAAUAUGUUGCCUGGAAAACAAACUCUGGUGCGUGCUCUCAUUGCAUGCAACUAAGUAAAAAAUCGAAUUCUACAUUAAAGCAAAGUUCUUCCCAUGGAAGAGAAUGUGAAGGUUCUCAUACUUCAUUCCAUAGUUAUUCUCCAUCUCAAGAAGAACCUGUGACUUAUGUUUGGGCUGGAAAAGAAUACACUGUAAUGCCUCCGACUUCGUCGACCCGUGAAAUCGAGACUCAUUCCAGACCAAAAUCUACUGGUCUAUUUGUGCCACGACAGUGUAAGUCAAGUGGGGACUCUUACAAAGCUAUGUCACACUAUGGUCAAAGCUCUAGUUCGGGCAUGUCAACUUCGACUAAACAAGAUUCAUCAUAUCUUAACACUAUAUCACAAGUGAGAUCAAAAAUUGCGAGUGUUUCAGUUCCAAAUGUGCGAUUUAGUCUGAAGAGAAAGAAGCGGCUCUGAUACCUUUUUGAAUAUUCCGUGUUGAUGAAACUGCAACCAGGAGCUACUGUUUUAACUCCUAAGACUGUUUUAUCUAAAUCUGCUGUAUUUUAUAAAUAAACUAUAGCAAUUUAUGAUAUGAUAGAAGUAUUGGAGGAAGUCCCAACUGUUCCUAUUAAUAAUUACUGUUGCAGAUUCUGUGGAUUUUCUACUCCCAGCAAAAUAGCUCUCGGCCGACACGAAAACCUUCACUUUGAGAAAGAUCCUUUCAAGUGUUCUCAUUGCCCAAGAGUUUUCAAAGAACGUCAUCAUUUGCAGAGUCAUUUACACUCUCAUGACGCAGUUGCACACUACAGAUGUCCAAUGUGUUACAAAAGUUUCCGUCACAGUAGCAGUUUGGCCAGGCACAAAAAAUCUCACAGAGUCGUACCAAAUAACACUCACUGAACAUUUUUAUAAUUGGAUGUGAUUUUACUUAUAACUAGCAGGGGGUGAUUGUAUUUAGGGUCUGAAAAAAGCAGGGCAGGUGAUUUUUUGACUUAUACACAUCAAAAACAUAUAAUCUGACAAAAUUGUAAAACUUUUGCUAAAACCCAUUAACAAGACAUCUUCUUCAAAUAAAUAAUUUUUUUUUGGUUCUGCAGAUUUUUGUCAUUUGGAAUACGUUAGUAUUGCGAUUCUCAUUUAUGCAAUUUUACUACCGAACAUCGAAUUUCGCAUAAACCUUAUCUUGAAGAUAUGUGGUUCGUUUCAUAUUUGCGUGAUUUGAAACUCUUACAUCACGAUGGCUGCUCACACGAUUUAAAAAUACAAUAUUGCGACUUGUAUGUACGCGUUUUUAAAACCCAAUCUUGCGAUUCGUAUUCACGCUGGUUUAAAAUCCAAUGUCGCUAUUUAUAUUCAUGCUCUUUUAAAAUCUAAUAUUGCGAUUUGUAUUCAAACGGUUUUAAUAUCAAUUUUCAUAUUUGUAUGUGAUUCAAGCACUACGCAUUGCUAUUCCUAUUCUUGUGAUCAAAACAUUUUGCACCUCGAUGCGUAUUUACACCGUUCAGAAAUUCAAUAUCGUAAUUUUUAUUUUCGCGGAGUUUGAAAUCCGGUAUCGAAAUUCACGUUCACGCGAUUUUACAAUUCAAUGUCGUGAUUCUUGUUAGAAGUCAGUUUUUUUCUUCAAUGAGUUACUAUAAAGGUGUGAUAUUCUUCAUUCGUAGGUCAUUUAAUUAUGAGCGUUAGUUCUCAAAAUUAUGUUAAAUGUAAAACUUGUAUUGUAUAUAAAUUGAUAUUCAUUUUUUGCCCCUCAAAUUUUCAGGGUUUUUUUUUUGUCACAAUUACCCCUGAGCUAGUUUGAGGUGUAUAAUUUUAUUCAAACUAUGCAAAAUUUAAUCAAACUAACUGUUCUUUAAGACAGUAUAUUUUUUUAAAAACAUAAUCUCUAUUGUUGGGUAUCCGAAGCGUUAUUGUUUGAUUGGUUAUUUUCAAAAGUCUUUUAUAGGCUGUCGCCUCCCAGAAUUUCUCUGCUUCUUUCCUUUUUAUAAUUUUUAUCUAUAAAUAAUAUGUGAUUUGUGUCAUGAGUAUCGACUCAAAAGUCUACCGUUAAGCAUUUUUUAAAAUUUCUCAGGCAAGUUAAAUUUCUCGUUCAAAAGUGAAUUGUAUGAGCUUUUCUUGGAAGUUAUUAUUUUUAAACGUGAUUACAUUCUUAAAUUCGUGUAAGUAUUUAUUUAUGUAAAUAAAUUUUUUUUCGACUGAAACAAUCAAGCAUAUGACUAAUAUAAUUUGAAAUAAUAAAUUUUAAAGCUUUUUUGUCAAGUGAACGUUUUGAUAAUUGCAACUUAAAUGGUAUUUUAUAACUUAACUUAAAUUGUACUUUGUAUCAAACAAAAGUAUUGAUGAUCAGACGGCACUAUCGUAUAUUAUCGUGUUAAUUUUUUAAAAAUUUUAAGUAGAUGUGUCCAAUCAAAAUCUAUCGAAAACCUGAAAUAUUUAAUGUUAGGAAUUAUUUAACCCUAAAUAACUUAUAUCAGUGUUACUCUGUAGCUAAUAAUUUUACUCAUAGACUAUAAAUUUAAAGUUAUGUUAUUACCUUUAUCAAGAAUGCACGACCAUAAAAACUUUCAAUUAUGGGGGCCAACAUUAAUAUGUAAUCAUAAAAUUGCUCUACAUUCUGUUUGAAACUUAAAUGUAUAAUUGAUCUUUUUCUCCUGUGUAGAUAAUAAAAACAAUGUAAAUAAAACUAAACAUACUUAUUAGAUUACAAGGUAAAUUAUGGUAAAUUUAUAGGCAUCAAGCAAAGAAUAUAACUUAAAUUUACAUUUGUCCUGGAAGUUAACUUUCAUUGUUAUUCAGAAAACAGAAUUCAUUACUAAUCCAGUAUCAGUAUUGAUGACUGUUUCUUGAAUGUUGAAAUCGUAAUUGUUUUUUCUUUAUCUUAUUGAGUUGCAUAAUACUUUAUGCAGGGCCAAACUAGAAUGCUUUGGUGGCCACUUUUGACCCAUGGGUCAUUGAUUAAAUCUCUGCCUUUAUUUAUUUCAGGCAAUUUAGAAAUUACUCUUGAGUUUUUAUUUUAUUUAAUGUUGACAAUCUUUAAAAGAUCACAAAGUGCUACCGUAACAUUCAUAAUCCGCAAAACUGGUAAAAGGUUGUUUAAUAAAUGUUUAGUUAAUAUGAAAGUCAUUAAAUAAAUGAUUUUUCCCUUUUCUAAAAACAAAUUCUAAGUCUUUAAAGUUAUGUGCAAAGAAUUUUUUUUUACCACUUCUUGAAGUGUAUGUAACUCUUCAAUAAAAUUAAAAUGUUGUAAAUAUUUAUAGGGUCAGCAAAUGGUCUCUCUUAUUUUAGUGGUUUUGAAAUUGUUAAAAAGAUUUUCUUUAUACACAUGAUUUCAUUUCUAUCAUUAUUCAUUGACUAUAUAUGUAUUUUUAUGCAAGUUUAAUAAACCUGUUUUGCAUAUUAUCUUUACCCUCCUUUUUCAACUAGUCUUAAAAAUUGGUGAAUAGUCACAGUGCCUCAUAUAAAUAUUUAUUGUGGUUAAUAUUUUUAGUAUGUAGUUUUUCCCUAUUUUUUAGAAUUAUUUAUUACCAAAAUUUUUGUUAAUGUCUUAAAACACAUUUAUAUAGUUUUACAGUUUUUCUCUCUUACUUGAAUGAGUUGAUUUUAAUUACAGGGUAUCUGUGCACCUGGGAAGUCAUGAAUUUCGCCACUGAGCAAAAUUUCUCAUGAAAUGUCAUGAUUU